CAGCUCUUCAUCUUAUAAAGGGGAGAAAUUUUCCCCAUUUGCUCACAGCUCAAGUGAGCGUGAGAUGAGUGAGAGAACCGGAAGAAGAAAAGAGAGAAGGGAAAAGAGAAGAAAAGAAAGAAAAGAGAGAAGAAGAAAACAAAGAAGAGAAAGAAAGAGGAGGAUGAAGAAAAGAAAAAAAAAAAAAAAUGAGAACUCUUCAAGGAAUUGUGACUUAGAUGCGGAUUCAAAAUAAGGGUAUGCAAUGUCAGAUUGCUCUAUAUAUAUAUUGUAAUAUUGAAGACAUGGGUACCAGUGGGCCUCUUAGUUGUUAAAAAAAAAUCCUAUCACUGCUUUAUGGUCUAGCAGGAGCAGUAGCAGUAGAAGUGUCUGGGACUCCAAUCUAUAGACGGCUUGGGCUAAGCAUAGACGGUGUAAUUUAAUUGCUUAUGAGAUUAUUGAAUACUAACACAUUAUGUAUUUGUGAUUUUAUAAAUGAAAAAUUAUAGUACU